rnacentral:lncRNA from 1 species
UCUUUUUUACCAGUGUGAAAUGUCAAUCUUGAACCGAUGAAAAAGUUUUCAAUCUGAAAUGAUAUGUCAAAAGACUCAAAACAGAAAAGAAGUGUUUUUUCAGCUAACUCAACUCUAAAAAGUGAGGUUACUUUUUUAGGCCCGUUCAAUAUUUUCCGAAGUGUACGUAUAGUUCCUGAGGUUAACUCAUUGACUUGUUAUUAGGUGGGUAUUUCUUCUGGAGCAACAGGAGCUGCCGCACUGAAAGUGGCAAAAAGACCUGAGAAUGCUGGAAAGCUUAUUGCGGUAUGCACCCUUUUUGUGUAUAUAGAUAAACUUUAAUUGGUUUUCCCCUUCUCAUGGUCAGUUACGAAAUUUCUCUAGGGAGGGAAAAUGGCAGGCUGCUCAAUGUUUGAAGUUGGUUGGAUAAGAGAGAAUAUCACGUAUUUUUUUAUCUAUUUUUUGGAGUCAAAUUCAGAAAGAUAUAGGAUAUUUCAUUGUUGUCUUAGCAUCUUUUACCCAACCAAAGAAGCUUUGGUAGUACGCAAUACUGGGACAAUUUUAAAGUCUUUGAGCAUUGGGAUUUGACCUGCUGAUGGCAUUUUCUUUUCUUUAUUAAAGACAUUGAUUAUAGGACGAAGCCUUUGGAAAUAUGAUCUGAGGGAUAAACUGCACAAAUAUCUUUUAAAAAAUGUCUAAAAAAUGUCUAUUGCUUAUAAUCGUAUAUGAAUGGGGUUGAGGAUUCCACCUUGGAAAGGGGCCUCAUAUUCCUUUAAAGAUAGGUGAGCUACUUUCUCUUGUUGCUAAUUGAUUUUGACACUUCUCUAUUUACUAAUUGAUUUUGACACGAAGGAUAAACCGUGCAGGUAUCUUACAAAAAAAUGUCUAUUUCUAAUAUUAGUAUAUGAUAUAUGAGUUACUUCUCUGUCAAUUGAUUUUAAGAUGAAACCCUAUACUAUCUAAUAAACAAAAGGACUCGUUUCGACUUAUAUAUAUAUUGUCAACUAAAAUCUUCUUGUCAUUUUGUUUCCCAUGAGUUGAAUUAAUUCUCUGUCACCUAAUUAAUCACUCCCUUUUCAGGUUGUAUUUGCAAGCUUUGGCGAACGAUACCUAUCCUCUGCCCUUUUCCAUUCAAUCCGAGAAGAAUGCGAAAACAUGCAACAUGAGCCAUGAAAAACCAUUUUAAUUAGACCUCCAAUUCAUCACACCAAUGCAGGAAGGAAUAGAAGUGGAACGGUAGACAAUCGAAGCCGGGCCAAGUGAUAGGUUGUUGUUAGUUGGCUUUGUUUAUUUGGUGUUUUGUUGGGAACUGUUGUUUUAAAAGGUAGGCUUUAUGUUGGUGCAAUUUGAAUAAUAAUAAUAAUGUGUUAUUUUUGUUGGAGAGAACGAUCCCUUCUCAAAUUCACUGCAGUCUAUGCAACGUUUGGAUUUUGUAAGUCGAACC